rnacentral:rRNA from 1 species
UACGUAGGGGGCAAGCGUUGUCCGGAUUUAUUGGGCGUAAAGAGCGUGUAGGCGGUCUGGUAGGUCCGUUGUGAAAACUCGAGGCUCAACCUCGAGACGCCGAUGGAAACCAUCAGACUAGAGUCCGGAAGAGGAGAGUGGAAUUCCUGGUGUAGCGGUGAAAUGCGCAGAUAUCAGGAAGAACACCCGUGGCUAAGGCGGCUCUCUAGUACGGUACUGACGCUGAGACGCGAAAGCGCGGGGAGCGAACAGG